AUGAUUAAAUACUAAAACAGAGAGAAAAUGAGAGUAUGAGAAUAACACCUGUAAAUAAAAGACACGGGAGGAGACACGGUAGGAGGAAGCCGUCUCCGAUACAAUGAAAUGGAAGAACUGGUCAGGUGUAGCAGAAGUGUACUAAACUGCAGGAUGAUGUUGAGCACCGAGGUGGUGCCGACAAACUAAUCGGAGCGGAGAUGGGUUUAGCAACAAUGUCAUUGACGAAAACAAAAGGUAUGUAUUUAUGCCAUGUGGAAUAAAUUUCCACAUACGAUUACUGCCAUGUGUAUUUGGAGUACCUUGCUACAAGGGCAUAAAUUUCCACACAGAUAAAGCAGCAUCAACUGCACCCCUUCCUUGCUACAACUUUGGAGUACCUAGCUACAACUUUGGGGUCCCGCAAACAGCUGGCGAUUGCAGAAUUUGAUGAGUGAUUGUUGAUAAUUCCAAAGGAUCUUGCUGUGAAUGUUGUAAAGGAUGCGACUGAUUUGGUGGCUAAGUAGCAUGCAUAUCACCACAGUGCACAAACUAAGAAAAUUCAUCAAUUUUAUAAUGUACAAUAUGAAAAAAAUUUGUAAAGAAGAAAUUCUAUUAUGUACAAUAUGAAAAUACUCUGUAAAUUUAAUUAAUAUGGUGUAAUGGAAUUAUUAUUUUGUAAAAUAAAGUUGUAAUUUAGUUGGGUA